CAUCCAUAUCCCAGGUGAGAGUGGAAGGACCUAUAUAUAUAGGAGCAGUACUCAGUGACAUCACUUCCUGAAACAGGAUGUAAAAAAAAUGUAUACCAUAGUUUCACAAUAUUGACAUUCAAUGUAUCAAAAUAUAUGAUCAUACACAGGGAAUGUGAUCAACAUUUACACUCAUAUACAUACACAUACAAUAUGCAAUUAGGAUUCAAAAACAACACAAUUUGGACAUAUUGAAACUAUAAAACUGGUUUUUAAGUCAAACUCCUCGUUAAGGCCAAGAGGAGAUAGUGUGUCGAGCCUGUGGAUCUAGAAUGAUUCUCCUGGAAGAAGUUUACUCUCAAUGUCCCCCCUCCCUUGUGUGACAUCUUGACUAUUUAUAUUCAAAUGUAUCUCAGAGUUCUAAUAGGAAGUCCAGCUUGUACAACAUGAGCAGCAACCGGUUGUUUUUGUCUCACCUGUCUGUAUGUUGCUGCAGUGCUCACUGAGCCGUGUCUUAAGGCUUCUAAGGGUUUCCCCAUUUCAACAUGGAAACAACCUUGGUGGACAUGCAGGUAAUCAGGCUGUGGAUCUUAGAUCUUUGUCCUGGGCGCGGGUGGGUACAUGAGUUGCAUUUGUACAUGAAGCUGCAAUGAUGACUGUUUUUUUUCUUUCUGUUGUCCAUGAGUUUGCCUACAACUCCAGCACCCGAGGAAAGUACCUGGAUGUACAAAUGUUCUUCAUCUGUUGUAACGUUUGGUGAACAAAUGGUUGAAGGUACAAAUUAACUGAGGAGCAUAUGAAGAAUGUGAAAGGAUUUAAUGAGUGAUUUGGACAGUCACAGGCAUACACUGAAUGAACGAUCUCUGAACAAGGUGUGAGGUUUUCUGAGAGACGUCAGGAUAUCAUCCAGACAACAUACAGUAGGCUUUAUACCUGUUCAAACAACUAACUCUAGGUGGCAGUAUGCACCCUUUUAGUUUGAUUCCCAACUUAUAGAAAUAGUAGAAGAACAAUGACCACUUCAAAAAAAUGGAGAUAGCCUCAAUGGCGCUGCCAAUGCUCUCACAGACACCAUAAUGGGACAGAUACACAGAAGAGUUCUCUAUCAUUCUCUAUGGUUCAACUAAACAUUACCAAUGAACAAUAGUCAACAUUCACACAAUCUAAUGUUUCAUCUAUAUAAACAAAAUGUAUAAUAAUACUAAUAAUAUAUGCAAUUUAGCAGACACUCUAUCCAAAGUGACUUAGUCAUACGUACACAACUGUUUUAUGUAUGGGUGGUCCCGGGAAUCAAACCCACUAUCCUGGCAUUGCAAGUGCAAUGCUCUACCAACUGAGCUACAGAGGACCCCCCAAAAAAGAACAGUUUGUUUUUAUGGUGAAUGCCCAAUUUCCUCAUAUAACUAUGGCUCUGAUUAGAGCUGUGAAACACAGAAACAACCCCAGUAUCAAUUCCACCUGUUUACUCAUGUUUGUUUUGACUGUGUUCGUUUGUGGUUCCCUGGGAGCCAUUUUGCCAUGAUGAGGUUGAUCUGUGGUCCCUGGGGAGUUGAUUACAGAAAGAGAGAGGGGGGGAGUCAUGCCUCCCUGCUGCUGCUGUCUGGCCACAGGGGAAAGACAUGACAAGGGGGAAGACAGGGGAGGUGGGGGGAGGAGGAGGACAGGGGAGGAGGAGGACAGGGGAGGUGGGAGGAGAAGAAGGACAGGGGAGGAGGAGGACAGGAGAGGAGGGGGACAGGGCAGGUGCGGAGGAGGACAGGGGAGGACUCAGACAGGAGAGGAGGGGGACAGGGCAGGUGCGGAGGAGGACAGGGGAGGACUCAGUGGGUAAGAUGGAGAUCUUGAGGAGGGUGGGGAGGACAGGGGAGGGGGAGGACAGGGGAGGAGGAGGACAGGAGAGGUGCGGAGGACGACGACAGAGGAGGACUCAGUGGGUAAGAUGGAGCUCUUGAGGGAGGUGGGGAGGACAGGGACUGAUGCAGGAGAGUUGGAGGAGAUCUCGAUAGAGGAGGCGAACUUGAGGGAGGGUGGGGGAGGUCUCAAAAGGGCAACGGUAGUAGACACAGAAACAUCUCAUUAUAUACAUACAUAUAUACAGUGCCUUGCGAAAGUAUUCGGCCCCCUUGAACUUUGCAACCUUUUGCCACAU
ensembl:lncRNA